rnacentral:rRNA from 1 species
AAAGAAGUAAUGAAGGGCGCAUGGGGGAUGCCUAGGCUCUCAGAGGCGAAGAAGGACGUGGUAAGCUGCGAAAAGCUGCGGGGACCCGCAAACGGGGUUUGAUCCGCAGGUGUCCGAAUGGGGCAACCCGUCACGCUGAAGGCGUGACACCCAGCAAUGGGGGCAAACCCGGGGAACUGAAACAUCUAAGUACCCGGAGGAAGAGAAAACAACAGUGAUUGCGCCAGUAGUGGCGAGCGAACGCGCAAGAGCCCAAACCCGCCAAGUCAAGGCUUGGCGGGGGUUAUAGGGCCACAUAAUCGAAACCGAGGGCGACAUGAACCGGGUGGGAAACCGGGCCAAAGAGGGUGAGAGCCCCGUAAAGGAAGCCAUAGGGGAGAGGUGGUACCCUGAGUAGGGCGGGGUCGGAGACGCCCCGUUUGAAUUUGCCGGCACCAUCCGGUAAGGCUAAACACUCCUGAGAGACCGAUAGUGGACCAGUACUGUGAAGGAAAGGUGAAAAGCACCGUGAACAACGGGGUGAAAAGAGAACCUGAAACCAUGCGCCUACAAGCGGUCGGAGCCAAGGGAUUUGGUGACGGCGUGCCUUUUGCAUAAUGAGCCUACGAGUUGCCGUCACUGGCAAGGUUAACCCCGUUGACGGGGGGAGCCGGAGCGAAAGCGAGUCUGAACAGGGCGCACAGUCAGUGGGGGCAGACGCGAAACUUUGUGAUCUACCCUUGGCCAGGGUGAAGCCCCGUUAACACGGGGUGGAGGCCCGAACCAGUAAGCGUUGAAAAGCUUUUGGAUGAGCUGAGGGUAGGGGUGAAAGGCUAAUCAAACUGAGAAAUAGCUCGUACUCCCCGAAAUGUCUUUAGGGACAGUGUGAGGGUCGAGUUUGCCGGAGGUAGAGCUACCGAUAGGACUAGGGGGAGUCACAUCCUACCAAAUCCUGACGAACUCCGAAUGCCGGCAAACAUACCUUGCAAUGAGGGCACGGGUGCUAAGGUCCGUGUCCGAGAGGGAAAGAACCCAGACCCACGGCUAAGGCCCCAAAAUCCACAUUAAGUUGAACUAAGGAGGUCCAGUUGCCGCGACAGCCAGGAGGUUAGCUUGGAAGCAGCUAUCCCUUUAAAGAGUGCGUAACAGCUCACUGGUCGAGCGACAGGGCAUCGAUAAUGAUCGGGCAUAAAAUGUGGUGCCGAAGCUUGGGAUUGUCCCGCGUGAGCGGGACAGUGGUAGGGGAGCAUUCCAACAGCGGGGAAGCCAAGAGAUGACUUUUGGUGGAGCGGUUGGAAAAGCAAAUGUAGGCAUAAGUAACGAUAAGGCGGGUGAGAACCCCGCCCACCGAUAGACUAAGGUUUCCGCGGCAAUGUCAAUCAGCCGCGGGUCAGUCGGGACCUAAGGGGAGGCCGAAAGGCGCACCCGAUGGCAAACCGGUCAACAUUCCGGUACCACCGCAGCGGGCGAUGGGGCGAAGGAGGAGUGAAAGUCCCACGGCCUGACGGAACAGGCCGUUUAAGGGCGUAGGUACAGGGGGCGCAGGCAAAUCCGCGCCCCUUGCCGAAACCCGAAAGUACCAAGAGGCCCCGGCCGAAUGGAGCGGACGUAACCAUGCUCCCGAGAAAACCCCCUAAGCACAACCGCUGUGGGGCCCGUACCGCAAACCGACACAGGUAGUCAAGGAGAAUAUCCUGAGGUGCUCGAGUGAAUCAUGGCCAAGGAACUCGGCAAAUUAACCCUGUAACUUCGGGAAAAGGGGUGCCCCGCGCGAGCGGGGCCGCAGAGAAAUGGCCCAGGCGACUGUUUAACAAAAACACAUGGCUUUGCGAAAUCGCAAGAUGAAGUAUAAGGCCUGACACCUGCCCGGUGCUGGAAGGUCAAGGGGGGGCGUCAGCCGCAAGGCGAAGCGCUGAACCGAAGCCCCAGUAAACGGCGGCCGUAACUAUAACGGUCCUAAGGUAGCGAAAUUCCUUGUCGGGUAAGUUCCGACCUGCACGAAUGGUGUAACGAUCUGGGCGCUGUCUCGGCCAUGAGCUCGGUGAAAUUGUAGUCACGGUGAAGAUGCCGUGUACCCGUCACGGGACGGAAAGACCCCAUGCACCUUUACUAUAGCUUCGCAUUGGCACUGGGGGGGUGAUGUGUAGGAUAGGCGGGAGGCGCUGAUCCUGCCCCGCUAGGGGCAGGGGAGCCAACGGUGAAAUACCGCCCUUUGCCUCCUUGGUGCCUAACCCCGCCUUUUGGCGCGGGACAUUGCGUGGUGGGUAGUUUGACUGGGGUGGUCGCCUCCGAAAGUGUAUCGGAGGCUUUCAAAGGUCCCCUCAGCACGGUUGGUAAUCGUGCGCGGAGUGCAAUAGCAUAAGGGGGCUUGACUGUGAGACGGACAUGUCGAGCAGGGGCGAAAGCUGGAUAUAGUGAUCCGGUGGUCCUGCAUGGAAGGGCCAUCGCUCAAAGGAUAAAAGGUACGCUGGGGAUAACAGGCUGAUCUCCCCCAAGAGCUCAUAUCGACGGGGAGGUUUGGCACCUCGAUGUCGGCUCGUCACAUCCUGGGGCUGGAGAAGGUCCCAAGGGUCGGGCUGUUCGCCCGUUAAAGUGGCACGCGAGCUGGGUUCAGAACGUCGUGAGACAGUUCGGUCCCUAUCUGUGAUGGGCGCUGGAAGCUUGAGGGGAUCUGGCCUUAGUACGAGAGGACCGGGCUGGACCAACCCCUGGUGUACCGGUUGUGGCGCCAGCCGCACCGCCGGGUAGCCAUGUUGGGCAGGGAUAAGCGCUGAAAGCAUCUAAGCGCGAAACCCGCCCCGAGAUGAGGCUUCCUUUUAAGGGCCGUGGGAGAUGACCACGUUGAUAGGCCGCAGGUGCAAGGGCAGCGAUGCCAGAGCCGAGCGGUACUAAUUGCCCGGGCGCUUCGGGCG